CGAAACUAAUUUACUCAAAUCAUAAUUGAAAGCUACCGUAACAACGUUAAAAGUUCGUCUGUUUUGAACAACUUUUAGGAACGAAUUAAAUUCAAAACCCGAGUUUUGGCUGUAUUGAAACUCGUUGAUGCGAGUGGAUUGGAUCAAUUGGAUGGGAUUAAGUAUGGACGCUCUCAGGACAUUUGCCUAUAUUCGCGUGUUAGACACGUAAUAAAGUCCCGGAAAACUCCACGUGGCUAGGUCAGGUGCGAAUCCGUAACUAACCAAUGGAUAGUUAAGUGGAACAUUAAGAAGGUUUCACAGCUGAAAAGUCAGUUAGCAAUCCUAUUUAAAUAUUCUAGACAAGCUUCUCACCGUAUUCCACUUCACAUUCCACACUAUCUACAAGCUUCAAGAAUGGUUAAAAAUGGAUUCUCCUGCAAGUUAAAAAGAUUUAGAUCUGAUCCCAGAAAAUUCUCAGAACUUGUUGUAAUCUGCUGGGUAUUGUCCCUUGUCAUUGUAGGCUUAGUCUUAAUGGGCUUGGAAAACAAAUCAUCAGUGUUCAGAGAGAGAGAGAGUGGACAGAAUUAAUAAAAAAAAUCAUCUCCAAGUGGAUGUAAAUAAUAGUGCCUGAUGUUCAAUGCCAUCUCCAAAUGGACUUAUCUAAUUACAGCUUUGUGUUCAAUGAUAUAAUUACUAUUAUGCACCAAUUAAAUAAUAAAAAGUAAUAUCUCAAAGCCUUCCAUUGAAGAAAUUGUAACAUUUGAUAAUAUAGAUUUAUGUAUGUGAUUUAUGUACUAGUUAAUAAAAAUUUAUUUUGUAAUAAAUUUAUCUGAGAAUCAAUUCUAUAUAUUACGACCUAGAUAAAUACCAUUUGCAGCAGCGAGAAAAACAUACAAUUAAUAAACAGCAUUCAAAUAAUAGUUUUAAGUUCUCUGCAAUUAAAGUUGUAAAUACAAUAAUCCUUGAAAAAAUUCCCACUGACCCUAUCACCAAUUAUCACUUGAGGUCUUCUAGAUCCUCAAAAAAUAUAUUGUUUUGAAUUGUGUCAUUGAUUAAAGGCAUCAGUAAUAAACAUAAAUUUAAUCUAUCAAUAGUAGUGUUUUGAGAUAAAAAUUAUGUACUGAAUAACUUUCUGAAACAAUUUUAACAUGCAUAACUUAUAAAAAUUGAUAGCCAGAAUGAGGGUGUCUUCCAGCCAUUCUGAGGGAUCUGGCGCAAAUAUAGUUGGGCAAAAUAUUCCAGACACUUUUCUGGACGGCAUUGGUCUCGAGAUCUGCCUAACCUACGACGGACAAAAUAAAAAUACCCUCUUAGUGCACACAGUGCAGAAAGAGUAAACAGUUUUCUUUUUACCUCUGUGUCCUUAAACAAAAAGUAAAAUGUCUACUUGAACUUUUUUAUAAGUAGAACUUAUUUAUA